CCUACCCGAAACACAAAAUGGAAGGGAAAAGUUAUUUCUUAAAUAACCAUGUAAUGUGAAAAAUAAAUUAUUUUUAUUCAAAUCAUCUUUCUCUUGGGUUGUUGGGAUUAAAAAUCACCGUCCUCCCUCCGGGAGCCUCAACAAUCGUCAAAUCCUAAUGAAAGUGGUGACAUCGAAAUAUAUAAUUGUAUAAAGUAAAGCGACUUCAAGUCGAUGUUAAUGGAUUUUUUCCUAGUACUUAAAUAGCAACAUGGUGCCUUGCUCGAUUGGUACGCGUGGUUCUUGCCAGUUCAAAAGACACAGACCAACUGAUGUGUAUGAAAUAAAACUCAAGUUGCCAAAAGUGACAUGACAUGUCAAAGUAGUCAGUUUUUGAUCAUGACUUUAAAAUGAUUGUAGUUUUGGAUUUAAAUUUUAGUUAUACUGUAAUGGUUGUUAUUAAAUGUCUUAAAAUGCAA